CGCAGAGGGAUUUUCUCAAGGAUUGAGAGAGAAGAGAAGACUCUGGCAGCGACUUACCUUGAUCCAGAACAUACGGAAACUCAGUUGAGGUUUAUGGAGGUGGACAUUCUAUACAUUUCAGCUAGUGGUCUUGUACUAUGUAUUGCACAUGGAUCUGCUCAUGAAAGAACAUUGCACCUUUGCCGAGUUUAAUUAAAUGCCAACACGUCAUGGGUGAGGAGACGGGCAGCGGCAGAUGUAACUUGUGAACAGUGUCAUGCUCGAAACUGCUGAUUCGCUGACACCAGGAACCUAAAAAUCCAACAACUUGCCUGAAAAAAUCUGCAAACCAGACUCGGGAAGGCAAAUGUUUCUACAGAUCAUAUUCACCUUCCAGCGCUUCCACUUCACGUGUCUUAUUCAGCCUGUCACUUGCCUUACGGAAUAUUCCCGGUGUAUUCUACAGA